UUCAUAAUAACUCAACGAAUCGCAUGGCCUUGCGCCGGCGAUGGUUCAUUCAAAUUUCUGCCCUAUCAACUUUCGAUGGUAGGAUAGUGGCCUACCAUGGUCUCAACGGGUAACGGGGAAUUAGGGUUCUAUUCCGGAGAGGGAGCCUGAGAAACGGCUACCACAUCCAAGGAAGGCAGCAGGCGCGCAAAUUACCCAAUCCCAACACGGGGAGGUAGUGACAAUAAAUACUGAUACAGGGCUCUUUUGGGUCUUGUAAUUGGAAUGAGUACAAUCUAAAUCCCUUAACGAGGAACAAUUGGAGGGCAAGUCUGGUGCCAGCAGCCGCGGUAAUUCCAGCUCCAAUAGCGUAUAUUAAAGUUGUUGCCGUUAAAAAGCUCGUAGUUGAACCUUGGGUCGGGCCGCUCUGUCCUCCUAAUCGAGCGCACGGAGUCGGUCGGACCUUUCCUUCUGGGGAGCCCGAUGCCCUUUACUGGGCGUCGCGGGGAACCAGGACUUUUACCUUGAAAAAAUUAGAGUGUUCAAAGCAGGCCUUUGCUCGAAUACAUUAGCAUGGAAUAAUAGAAUAGGACAGCAGUUCUAUUUUGUUGGUUUCUAGGACCGCUGUAAUGAUUAAUAGGGAUAGUCGGGGGCGUCCGUAUUCAAUUGUCAGAGGUGAAAUUCUUGGAUUUAUUGAAGACGAACUACUGCGAAAGCAUUCGCCAAGGAUGUUUUCAUUAAUCAGUGAACGAAAGUUAGGGGAUCGAAGACGAUCAGAUACCGUCGUAGUCUUAACCAUAAACUAUGCCGACUAGGGAUCGGACGGUGGUUUUUUUAUGCCCCGUUCGGCACCUUACGA
rnacentral:rRNA from 1 species